UACAGAGGUCUCAAGCGUUGUUCGGAUUCAUUGGGCGUAAAGGGUGCGUAGGCGGGCUUGUAAGUCAGUGGUGAAAGCCCGGGGCUUAACUCCGGAACUGCCGUUGAUACUGCAAGUCUUGAGUGCACUUGAGGUGGGCGGAAUACAUCAUGUAGUGGUGAAAUACUUAGAUAUGACACAGAACACCGAUUGCGAAGGCAGCUCACUAAACUGUAACUGACGCUGAGGCACGAAAGCGUGGGGAGCAAACAGG
rnacentral:rRNA from 1 species